rnacentral:rRNA from 1 species
GUGAGGGAAAGGCGAAAAGAACCCCGGGAGGGGAGUGAAAUAGAACCUGAAAUCAUACGUCUACAAAGUGUGGAAGACCCUGAAGUGGUCGACUGCAUGCCUUUUGCAUAAUGAGUCUGCGACUUACUGUAUACAGCAAGGUUAAGUUAGUUACGAAGCCGAAGCGAAAGCGAGUGUUAAUAGCGCGAAUUAAGUUGUAUGCAGUAGACCCGAAACUAAGUGAUCUAGCCAUGAGCAGGUUGAAGCUUUUGUAACAGAAAGUGGAGGACCGAACCAGUACGUGCUGAAAAACGUUUGGAUGACUUGUGGCUAGGGGUGAAAGGCCAAUCAAACUUAGUGAUAGCUGGUUCUCUUCGAAAUAGCUUUAGGGCUAGCCUUGAGUGCUUCCUUACGGGGGUAGAGCUACUGAUUUUUCGCGGGCCCCUACCGGGGUACCAACAAAUGUCAAACUCCGAAUACCGUAAGUUUAUGAGCUCAGGAGUCAGUCCGUGUGAGACAAGUCGCACGGACAAGAGGAAAACAGUCCAGACCGCCGUCUAAGGCCCCCAAUAUGUGCUAAGUGGGAAGAAGGAUGUGAAGUUGCAUAGACAGCCAGGAUGUUGGCUUAGAAGCAGCCACCAUUUAAAGAGUGCGUAAUAGCUCACUGGUCGAGUGAUUUCGCGCCGAAAAUACUCGGGACUAAGCAUGUAGCCGAAGACGCGGGCAUAUCAAUAGAUAUGUGGUAGAAGAGCGUUGUAUGCAGGAGUGAAGCUGGAGAGGGAUCACCAGUGGACCGCAUACAAGUGAGAAUGCAGACAUGAGUAACGAAAAGACGGGUGAGAAUCCCGUCCACCGAAACUCCAAGGUUUCCUCCGGAAGGUUCGUCCGCGGAGGGUUAGUCGGAACCUAAGGCGAGGCCGAAAGGCGUAGUCGAUGGACAACAGGUUAAUAUUCCUGUACUAGAUGGGUUGAGUGAUGGAGUGACGCAGCAGGUUAGGUGUUGUCAUUCAUUGGUUUAUGAUUUAAGCGAGCAGGUCGUGGGAUAGGCAAAUCCGUUCCACACAAGACCGAGACGUUAUGAGCAGUGAAAGCCUUCGGGUGGAAACUGUAACAUUGAUACCACACUGCCAGGAAAAGCUUCUAAACGUUGAAGCCCAUCUAUCCGUACCCUAAACCGACACAGGUGGAGUGGUCGAGUAGACUAAGGUGCGCGAGAGAAACCACGUUAAGGAACUCGGCAAAUUAGCCCCGUAACUUCGGGAGAAGGGGUGCCCCGGUAGCGUGCAAGCGCGAGGGGGCCGCAGUAAAGAGGCCCAGGCAACUGUUUAGCAAAAACACAGCACUCUGCAAAAUCGUUAAGAUGAAGUAUAGGGUGUGACACGUGACCAAUGCCAAAAAGUCAAAGGGAGAGGUUAGUCUUCGGACGAAGCUUCGAACUGAAGCUCUGGUGAAUGUCGGCCGUAACUAUAACGGUCCUAAGGUAGCGAAAUUCCUUGUCG